CUGCUCGCUUCGGCAGCACAUAUACUAAAAUUGAAAUAAUAUUGAGGUUAGCAUGGCCCCUGCGCAAGGAUGACACACAAAUUCGUGAAGCAUUCCAUAUUUUU